UACGUAGGGUGCGAGCGUUGUCCGGAAUUAUUGGGCGUAAAGGGCUCGUAGGCGGUUUGUCGCGUCGGGAGUGAAAUCCACUGGCUUAACUGGUGGCUUGCUUUCGAUACGGGCAGACUGGAGGUAUGCAGGGGAGAACGGAAUUCCUGGCGUAGCGGUGAAAUGCGCAGAUAUCAGGAGGAACACCGAUGGCGAAGGCAGGUCUCUGGGCAUUAACUGACGCUGAGGAGCGAAAGCAUGGGGAGCGAACAGG
rnacentral:rRNA from 1 species